rnacentral:tRNA from 1 species
CUCUGGGUAGCUCAGUUGGAAGAGCGUCAGACUGUAAAUCUGAAUGUUACUGGUUCGAUCCCGGUUCCGGAGA